rnacentral:tRNA from 1 species
AGGGACGUCGGUUAAUGGCAAACCAACGGUCUCCAAAACCGUAACUGCAGGUUCGACUCCUGCCGUCCCUG